rnacentral:misc_RNA from 1 species
GUGCAUCGAACUGCUGGCUCCCCAUCCGCUUCAAUCUUUCCCCAAGCGAUGUUUCAUCCUUGCGGGUGUGCAUGGUAUCCUGUGUUGCUUACCCAUGAAAUGGAAUUCGGUGGCUUUGUUGUGUUGAUCCGUUAUGUGCCCUUUCGGGUAUGGGACGGACGUGAAGCGGGCUCUGUGUUCCCAACAUGCUUAGUGUGUUGUUGCUUAGUCGUUGUGGCCCAUGGAGUCCUUGGCUUGUUCUCUAGGAUACGGAAUGCUAAGCUUGGGCGUAAGGUCUUGGCCUCAAUUCGUCCAAGCAUUGUCCCUUGACUCGAACGACUGCUGCGCCCGUCUUGAUCUUCCCGACCAAGGCCUGUAAUAGGGCUUACUGGACGAGGGUUGCUCAUGCGGGCAUCGGUGUCGAAGAGGAAUGC